CUGAUUUAUACUGUGAGAACGAAAGUUCUUGCUUUUAACUAGAUAACAACUUUCAGCAGUGGAUGUCUAGGCUCGCACAUCGAUGAAGAACGCUGCGAACUGCGAUACGUAAUGCGAAUUGCAGAAUUCAGUGAGUCAUCGAAAUUUUGAACGCAUAUUGCACUUCCGGGUUAUGCCUGGAAGUAUGUCUGUAUCAGUGUCCGUAGCGUUUCUUCCUUCCGUGUAGUCGGUGGAGGAGAGUUGCAGAUGUGAAGUGUCUCGCUGUGGUUGGUGUUUGUUGUUUGCAAUGAAUGCACAGCUUGCGAGUCCUUUUAAAUGGACACGACUUUCUCUUUUUUGUAUGUGCGCGGUGCUGUGCGUGAACGCGGUGGUUUUCGGAUCGCUCGCGGCUGUCGGCGACUUCGGUGAAUGCAUAAUGGAGUGGACCUCGAUUCGCGGUAUGUUGGGCUUCGGCUGGACAAUGUUGCUUAUUGUGUGUCUGUUCCGUGUUCGCCUUGAGGUGUACUGAUGGCUGUGGGAUUGAACUGGUUACUGUUGUUAGUAGUGUGUGUAGCACGUUGUCGUGGAUGCAUCUGUGUUUUUGCAUACUUGUGUGUGUGCAAUUGUACAGAAGAGGAGUCUCAAUUUGGGAAAAGUUU
rnacentral:rRNA from 1 species